CGUGAAGUCGGAAUCGCUAGUAAUCGCGGAUCAGCAUGCCGCGGUGAAUACGUUCCCGGGCCUUGUACACACCGCCCGUCACACCAUGAGAGUCGGGAACACCCGAAGCCCGUAGCCUAACAGCAAUGAGGGCGCGGUCGAAGGUGGGUUCGAUAAUUGGGGUGAAGUCGUAACAAGGUAAC
rnacentral:rRNA from 1 species